ACAAGCGUUUCCGUAGGAUGAACCAUGACGGAAGGAUCAUGU
rnacentral:rRNA from 1 species